CGGUCCCGGUUCCGCUCCCCGGGCUCUCAGAACCGACCCACCGUAUCCGCUCCGCGUUGCUCCGAUGCUGAGCGCUGCCAACCGGCGGCUCGUCGUUAGGGGAGGGGCUCCUCGCGGCCGCCCGCUCCGCGCAACCGGCGGCUGCGGCUGGAAGCGCUGUGCCACCACGUCGGAGCGACCACGGAGACAGCACAGAGCCCCUCUGCCAUCCAUAGAGCCAGCACAGAGCAACCACAGAGCCCCUCUGCCAUCCAUAAAGCCAGCACCGAGCCCUGGCUGCCACCGAGCCACCUCAAAGCUGCCCUCAUUACCACCAGCACAGCCAUGGAGUACGACCACCACUGCCCUAUCUGGCUACAGGAGUGCUUGCUGAGGAAAGGAGGCUGUUAAUGGCUGGGACACAAGUCACCCCAGCUAAGUGCCCACAUCAUCUAGCUUGGAGUGAAAACACUGUCCUCUUCUGACAGCCAGCGUUGCUCAAUCUAAUGGAUUCCUAUCAAAGCAUUUCUUUCAACCAACUGGCGCUUUAUCAAGGAAUCCCCAACCUGCCUGGAUUUUUUCCACUUGAAAGCAAGAGCCAAGAGCUGGAAGAGAUCCUCAUCUGAACAAUAACACUGCAGAAGCUGUACAGAGCAAGGCUUCAGCCAACGGGCUGAACAGAAUAGAAGAGCUCUAUCAAAAGAGAUGUAUUUCUUUGCACCAGGCCUUAGGAGAAAUCAACAGAGCCAGAGAUCAUGGCAUGUCAGUGUGCUAGAGCAGUGGCUUUCCACACAGGAGGACGACCCCAUAUUUUUGGAUUUAGAACGACUUCACAGCAUAUCUCCCUGACAUUUGUUUGUUGGCUGAUUUAUCGCACCAAGUGCCAGCCUGACUUCCUGCCAUCAGUAACACAGCGCUGUCAAUAUCUGGGCAUUGAGAUCAUUUGUCUGGCUGGUUCAUCUAUUCUCGGAGUGCUUUCUCACUUAGGAGUGAACACUGCCAUAA